rnacentral:rRNA from 1 species
GAACGAGACCUUGGCCUCUAACUAGGGGGCGCAGCGGUAGCUACGCGACCUUCUUAGGGGGACUAUUGAUGUAAGUCGAUGGAAGUUCGAGACAAUAACAGGUCUGUGAUGCCCUUAGACGUUCUGGGCCGCACGCGCGCUACAUUGACGGAGGCAGCGAGUUGACCUUUGCCGAGAGGCAUGGGAAAUCUUGAAACUCCGUCGUGCUGGGGAUGGAGCAUUGCAAUUUUUGCUCUUCAACGAGGAAUUCCUAGUAAGCGCAAGUCAUCAGCUUGCGUUGAUUACGUCCCUGCCCUUUGUACACACCGCCCGUCGCUACUACCGAUUGAAUGGCUCGGCCCGUGCCCCGCCCCGCCCGCCGCGCGCGGCGGGGGA